rnacentral:rRNA from 1 species
CCUAGGGAGGCUGCAGUGGGGAAUAUUGGACAAUGGGCGAAAGCCUGAUCCAGCCAUGCCGCGUGUGUGAAGAAGGCCUUCGGGUUGUAAAGCACUUUCAGUGGGGAAGAAAGCCUUGGGGCUAAUACCCUCGAGGAAGGACAUCACCCACAGAAGAAGCACCGGCUAACUCCGUGCCAGCAGCCGCGGUAAUACGGAGGGUGCGAGCGUUAAUCGGAAUUACUGGGCGUAAAGCGCGCGUAGGCGGUCUGAUAAGCCGGUUGUGAAAGCCCCGGGCUCAACCUGGGAACGGCAUCCGGAACUGUCAGGCUAGAGUGCAGGAGAGGAAGGUAGAAUUCCCGGUGUAGCAGUGAAAUGCGUAGAGAUCGGGAGGAAUACCAGUGGCGAAGGCGGCCUUCUGGACUGACACUGACGCUGAGGUGCGAAAGCGUGGGUAGCAAACAGGAUUAGAUACCCCUGUAGUC